rnacentral:misc_RNA from 1 species
UCAAACUUGGUCAUUUAGAGGAAGUAAAAGUCGUAACAAGGUUUCCGUAGGUGAACCUGCGGAAGGAUCAUUAUUGAAUAAACUUGGUGGGUUGUAGCUGGCUUCUUGAAGCAUGUGCACACCAACCAUCUUUAUCUAUCAUCCACCUGUGCACUUUUUGUAGUCUUUGGGACAUGGGAACAACAUACUUUCAAUAAGGUGAACAACCUAUUGGACUUGGGGAAUGCUGUAUGGCUCUCUCCAAAUUGCUUGUGAUCAGUUCUUGGACUAUGUCUUUUUCAUAUACAAUCUAGUAUGUUGCAGAAUGUAUCAAUUGGGACUUUGUGCCUAUACAAUAUCAAUACAACUUUCAGCAACGGAUCUCUUGGCUCUCGCAUCGAUGAAGAACGCAGC